rnacentral:tRNA from 1 species
GUCAGUGUGCCCGAGUGGUCUAAGGGGUUGGUCUCAAGUGAAUUUCGCGCUUCCAGCUUAAUGCCUGGGUAUUCCAAUGGCUUCGGCCGCGUGGGUUCGAACCCCACCGCUGACA